CAAAUCAGUGAUGUGUGUGUGAUGGUAGUGGUGGUGGUGGGAAAUCUGCUGCCAGCCUCGACCGUUACAACAACACAACAACAUUAGCACAGACACACUUCCUCGGGAGUCGUGUCUGAUGUUUACGCUUGCUUGUUUGACAAAUCAAUGUUUUCACAUGUAUUACA
rnacentral:misc_RNA from 1 species